CGCAGGUGGUUUCUUAAGUCUGAUGUGAAAGCCCACGGCUCAACCGUGGAGGGUCAUUGGAAACUGGGAGACUUGAGUGCAGAAGAGGAUAGUGGAAUUCCAAGUGUAGCGGUGAAAUGCGUAGAGAUUUGGAGGAACACCAGUGGCGAAGGCGACUGUCUGGUCUGUAACUGACACUGAGGCGCGAAAGCGUGGGAGCAAACA
rnacentral:rRNA from 1 species